rnacentral:lncRNA from 1 species
GCAAAAACACAAAACCAUGAUGCCGAAAUUUAUAUAAUAGAUCAUAAUAUUUACCCACUCAAAAAGGAGCACACUCUCCCCCAACAAAAAAGUGGUACAUAUAUACAUCUCAGGUGAGCUAGAAAAUUCUUCUGAUAUGGAACUCAAUAGUAUUAACUAUAUAUAUAUAGUGAGUAAAUUUUACCUCCAUAAUCAAAAAAGCUCGGGCUCUUCAAGUAGCAUUUCUUUAUGUGAACUUCACAUUUGUUUCUUUGGCACCAGAGCUGAUUAGUCAAGAGGAAAAACUCUUUACUAAAAUCUGUAAUAAUUGAUAAUGGAAAAAAUUAAGCUCAGAACCAUAGAUAAUCAACAAAAAUAGGGAUAAUUCAGGUCAAAUUAGACACACAAUUAAUAUGAUUGGCAAAAACAGUGAAAAACAAACAGGGAAGAAAAACACACCAAUAGAUCAGAUCGAGAGACACUUGUGGUGAAUACUAUAAUC